rnacentral:lncRNA from 1 species
CUUUACAUACUGUCUGUUUUCUUCUAACAGCCUCUAAGCUCCAAGAGGUCAGGGACUGGCCGUGUUUUUCAGUCUGCAUGUCUAGAGCCUGGGAGAACUCUAGGAUCCUGGAAGGCACCCAACAGGAAGUUGAUUGACUUUAUGGCUGGACUCUCAGCUUCCAUCGGCUCUCUUCUGCCCAUUGACAAUAGUGUCUAGCUGAAGUCAUGGGUCUGGGUCUGCAUUCCCGAAGAUCCUGCCGGCCAGUGUGCUUACCUCCAGGGAUAUCUGAAGGCACUCAGAAAACAUGUAUCGCUGUGGAUGGCUUCUCAAUGACAAGAAGCAAGAUUCCUGAGAUUUUUGUCCUUUGAGAAACUCUACAGCUUUUCCCAGUGGGGCAGUUCUGCUCUCCAGAAGACACCUGCUGUGACGAGCCAAAAACAGCUGGCAGGCCACAGAGGAAGCUGGCACUCGCUCAGCAAAGAACCAAACCCAAACCAGACCUUGCCUACAGUUGGAUGGCAAAGUUCCCAGAUGGGCAGCUUGAAAUAAAGAGAUGUGAGGUGUUCGAUAUAAAAGAAAAUAAAACUGCC